AAUGUUCAGAGCAUCACCCCUGAGCCUGAGCGUCAACUGAUCAACAGCCCAGAAUGAGCAUCAGGAUUUGAGGAAAAGUGCGUAAAACAGGGCAAUAUUGAAACACAAAGAAACUCAAUGACAUGUGCUGCUGCUCCCCUGGACACCCGCUCGGAGCUGCUGGAACAUACACAUCAGGCAGCUUCAUCUUUCAAAUUAAAACUAAAUUAGAAGGCAAUGUAACCUGAAUCAAACAACAGCUGGGAAAAGAAAGACUGCGGCCUAUUUGGACAUACAAGUGGCCCUGGAAGUUGUGAUCAAUGCCAAUCCUUCCCUCGAAGCCCCAACGGGAGGACAGGAGAAGGGAGGGUAGAAGGAAGAGGCGCAGUGCGCCAAGAGCCCCAGUGUGGCAGCUGUUUGCCCCAGGAAGGAACAAGGCCUGCGACAGAAAAUGCUGCCCUAAAGAGUUAAGACAGGCUGUGUCUGCAUACCCUGCGCAUCUAAACCUGAGAGUGGCCAGGAGUUUGGGGAGCACAGGAAGGGGCAGUGGAGGUCCCCCCUGCACCAUACACGAGGUCAUUGCGAUGCUGUUUGAGAUGUCAACGAGGUUCCACAGCUGCUCUGCCAACGCAGGUGGUAAGGAGGUGGAGAAAGGAGCGGCUUUGCAAGUGUUGUAUUGAUUUUCGAGUAGAAAAGGAAGCAGAAAAAGUGCCCAAAACAACACGUUCACAGAACUCGCAGCCGUGUUCCCAGUUUGGGCCGUACUUUGGAAGAAAGUUUGUUGUGGCGAGCUGCUUCACCAAGGGCAGAGGAGCAUCUCCUGCAGGGCAGGCUGCUCCUGGGACACCCAGAGAUGGUGGCAGUGAUUCAGGUUUCAUGCUGCUCCUUGUCAACCGUGGCAGUGGAAGAGACCCCCACCCACGUCCCCUCGUGUCCCGACGCACGGCACGGGCAAGGCGAUGGUGGAGCACUUUUUGUUGACAUCGAGGUACCUGGAGAGCCAGGCAGUCAUCAGCUGCCGCCAGCCUUUUCCAUCAGGCAGAGUUUGGUCCUUUCAACCCUCUCAGUGCUCUGUGCUGCGCACUCUGCUCUGUCUGCCAACACCCCCUCGAAACACUGCUUGGAACCGCUUUCUUUGACUGAAGUGACCACGGAGUGCAAAAACCUGAGGAACGGCUUCGGGGGCAUACAAAGAAAAUCUCCGUCUAAGCCAUACCUCUUCUAUUUACUUUUUUUCUUAUUUAAUUUAAGAAAUAAUCAGAAAAGAAUGUCAGAAGUCUUUGCUGUAGAAGGAAAAUGGUGUUGUAUUGUCAGUUACGACAAAGUGACAAGUGUCAGAAAUCCAGAAGAUGGUUUGCGUACAGAAAUUAAGCAAGAGGCAUGAAAUCUGCAGAGCGAUGGCAAAAAAUGUAGAAAAACCCAUCCAACUGUGUCAUCCUGCGCAGUGCAGCCUUGCAAAAUUUUAUUCACCCAAGAUGAGUGAUUUGUUUUGAUGGGCAAGCAAAAUACAAUCAUUUGAGGGAGGAAGGAGGGAAAAGGGAGGGGGGGUCUGUUACCAUCAACUCCGAAGAGGGUGGGUGAAUAGAUUUUGUGCCUGAGCUGGUAAAUUUGUACUACAGCUCUGCAUGGCUGGAAUAAUAUAAUAAACUGACUUAAAUAUAAAUGCCAUUUAGGAGCUAUUCCAUAGUGAACAGUUAAAAUGAUGGCAUUCAACAGAACUGCCACAACAGAGCCUGCUGUUGCUGCUAAUUUGCUGAAGUCGAUCUGCUGCCUGUACCCCCUCCGCUGCUCCUGCUGCACCUCAAGGCAUGCUGAGGGCUCAUCCAUCAUGUGCCGGCUCAUAACAAGGCAAGAAGAGGGAGCUGGAUUGUAGCGUACAAGAAACUGAAGCGUAGGUCCAGGAGGUCACAGGAAACCAUCAGCUGCUUAGAACUGGCAAGCUGGAAAAAGAUCUCACUGAGGAAAAGAUUGCAUGAAGACGGUUGGCGUGUUCCUUCCGAGCAGCCAUGGAGGCUGCGGUGAGAGGCGGUGGAAGCAGAGAUGCGUGCGGGCAGAGCGAUCCAGAGCACGCCGUGUCCCGGAAGGCCACAUCGUGCUUGAUAGGCUUUUAAUGCAGAACAAUUGCAAAUUGCCAUUAAUGCUCCAAUGGAGAACUGAGAUAGGCAAGGUUUUUCCCUUCUGUCAUGUGGCAUUACGUCAAAAGAGUGGAUAAUAACUGUGAUACAUUAACCCCUCCAGAGAGUUGUGCUGACAUACGCUAUAUGGGCAGGUUUUUGGCACCUACGUGCACACUGCCACCACUGAACCUCCAGACGGUUGCUCUCCCGUCGCAGGGUGCAGGGCAUCGAACAGGCCCUGGGCACUAGCACGGAAACGUGCCUUACCUUUCCAUGAUCUUUUCACCUGGUCUCUUAUGAGAUUGUAGGAAGCCACAGCGGUUUAUACUAUGAGACGACGGCUGGGUGGGUGACGAACCUCCUGGCAAGCAGUUUAACACGUUCUUCCUAAAGCAAUGCUCCACAAUAAACCACCAGGCUGCACUGCACAUGAUAAAGCUCCAUCUGACAACACAAUCCAGACUUCACACCACCAGGCACGUCGAUCAACAUCUGAACUAACGUCAGAGCCUUCUCUUACUAAUGAGCCACUGCACUGAGACGCAGCCUUGCUAUCAGUCAGUGCUGCGGAAUGGCCUGCACUGAACAGUUACUGCCAGGCCCAGAGCUUCUGCCAAAACCGGACCGAGGGCAGUUUGCUAAAAAGUGCACUCUGUGGUGUCCUUGCUGACCCACUGGGCUGUGGGAGGAGAGUCCUGCAAUGUGUGAGCCGCAGGUCCCGGCGCUGGGCACCCACCAGCAGCUCCUGCCAGAGAGCGAUCCUGAGGGCACCACGGGAGGAACGGGAGAGAGCUGCCCCUUGCUGGGGCAGGCGCUGCAAAGGAGGCUGCCUGCACCCCUUCCCCGCUCGUGGUGAUAACAGCCAAGCCUCCCCAGCACCUCCGCACCUCAGGGAGAAGCCCAAGGAACCCUAUUGUGCAGCCUGGACUGAGCAUCCCACCAACACCGAGGACAAGCGUGGCAAGCACGCUUCACAUGGCAUGGCAGCCCCUCAGGAGACAGAGCCAAAGCCGCAGCUUCUUCUCCCUGAAGCACACCCUGCUCCCAGGCCUCUGCUCCCUGGUUUUUGCCAGCAGAAGCCUGCAUGACCCUGGCUGCAGCGGAAAGAGGGACGCUGCUCCCAGCAGCGCCGCUGCCGCUGGCUAACGGCUCAGAAAAGCACUGCUGGGGAAGCACAGCAGCUCUGAAGAGUGAUCCUGCGUGCACCGCCCACACGAGAGCUGUGCGCUGGGAUGGCAGGGACGGCAGCGACAUCACCGGUCUGCUGAGCUUUGCCAGCAGAGCUAAGCCAAGCCAAGGCAGCAACAUCUUCCCAGCCAGGAAGCUGAGAGUACGGUGGGCUCUGUCCUCACCCCCAUCAGAAGAAGGUCUUCCAUAGUCACCCCAGCAUUAAAGUGGGGUGCAAUUAAAACUGGGCCAUGAGGGCCUUCAAGGGUAUCUUUUGCUUUUAAGAGAAGUGGACGUACCUAAGCAAGAUACAUUUUCCCUGUUCCAUUUUAUUUACAACAUGCACCAGGCUUGAACACAUCUCCAUCCCAAGCAGAAUUCAGAACAACUCAAAGAUCAUUUCCCGGCCUAAAAGAAAGCUUUGACUCAUCUACUCAAGCUGGGUUCAAACAUCCACAGGAGCUGCUGGGGUUGCUGGAGCCACUGAACUGUAGGUGAGCAGAAGGCUGGUUCCAGUCAGGGAGGUGAUACGGACCCACCAAACCCCCCACCCUGCCCCUGCCUGCAUUAAGCUGUGUGGCUGAUGGAUGAGCAGCAAGUUUCCCUGUCAUACUCGGAGCUGGAGGUACAUUCUCAGCUUGCGACAAGUGUCCAGGAGCUGAGAACAAAUGCAUCUACCAGCUGUAGCCUCAGAGACAUUUCAGCAGUAACUAGCAUUGCUAGGAAAUACGCUGUCUAAGCAGACAGAAAUUGGGAGUUAAUGUUCCUAAUGCAAUCAAAAGCCACCUCCUCGUAUGCUCUGUUCCAAGACAUCUUCUAGUCUGAGGCAUACGAGGAAGCUGAAUUCACCUGGCACCCAUGGCUGAGAGAUGUCUUGGGAAAAGCUCCUGCUGAGCAUCGCAGACACUAAUUGGCCCCUGCACAGAUACCGACUGGGUUUUGUUGUGUUUCUACAAUGCAUAUCACAAUGCUGACCUUUUCCUUCACCAGAGCUCCUCAGCACAGACAAUAAAUAGAACUAAUUAGAGAAAAAAAAAUGCUUGUCCUGUACCUCUGCAGGAAUCGUGACUAAGCCUCACUCUUACCGCGUUGCCUCCACUCUCGGCGACUGCGACUGUCCCUCACGGCCCGCGUGGCUGCGGCACCUGGGCGUGCAGAAGGAGAGGAGCGCCGGCUCAGGACAGCCACUCCACGGGGAUGCGUCGGGGGCAGAUUUCUGGGUGGGACACGAGGCCAGCCUUAUGGAAAAGUACCAUCUUGGUCCUAAAGAAGGCUGGGAGCAUGUGGUGGCAGGAGCAGGCAUAAAGAAAGGAGAGGGCUCGCAUUAGGGACAUGGCUUAGUGGUGGACUUUGCAGUAUGAGGUCUACGGUUGGACUCAAUGACCCUUAAAGGUAUUUUCCAACCUAAAUGAUUCUGUGAUUACAUAGGAUGCACUUUGGUGGGUUUAUUUAAAUUGCUGGUGGGUUUAUUUAGGUUGCCUGUAUAUUUAACCAUGAGAUUCACCUGUUACCCUGACUGCACACCAAUACUUGAGCCAUCUUCAUCCAAGCUCAGUUGUACCCACACCAGGGAGAAGAAAUGGAACUGUUUUAACACACUCCGUCUGUACCAAAAGGGUAAGUUAUCCAGGGCAGACACCUGCAGUAACGCAGCUGAACCCAUCGUGAUACCGGACAUAACCCAUAGGCCCACAUUUUCCUGCACUGCCCAGCACUCCAUCAACAGAGCCCAGGGAAGAUGUUUGGAGAGGAGGAAGCAGUCUCACUAAUUCAAUGGACAGAGGGUGGUCUGUUGGAUGUUAUUCUGCAUCUCCUGCACGUGCACAGCUCUCUACUCCAGGGCUGUUAGCAGAGGCAAGAACAGCAGUAGUGUAUGGGCUGCUGAAGGAACAGCCUGGUCAAGUGGUUCCUUGCAUCAAGCACAGAAACUAGCAACUAUUUUACUUCAACUGCUCUCAAAAUGCUCAUUUACUUCCAUUUAAUUUUCAUGUUUUCCCAAAGUGAUGGCAUUUUUACUCCUACCUGCGGUACAAAGAAAACGUCAGUGUUUAGUGCACUGUUCCCUUUUUUAUGAUAUGAUAACAGGGAAGAGAGAAGCUAAUUAAUAAUAUUGUUUCCAAGAUAGCAAAAGAGCUUGUCUGUGAUGAUAGUGCUUUGAAUUAACCAAGCCAAAACCUUGGUUCAACAUUUCCACUUUGUAGAUAUUGGAGAAAUCCUCCACCCCCACCCAGCGCACAUAUUCAUUACCCAAAUUGCCUGUCCUCAAAGUGAUAAUAUAGUGUGGUGUAACAUGCCCCGACAGGACACAAAUUGACUCUGUGCCUAGAUACUACACAGACAGUGUAAAGCAAAUAUCUCACUCUAUUAUCUGUUGUCUCUAUGAAUCAACAGAUUACAUGGUUCACUGGGUAGCUGAAUAACUUUUACACAGUUUGCUCAUAUCUAUUUACACAUAUUCUACAAAAAAAUGCAUUAACACUAAAGAACAAAUACAAAAAAAAAAUUGCACCCGCACAAUCCAGACAAAUUACACAUGUGAAAAAAACAGAAUAAACAGUCGUGCUUAAAUUUCAUGUGCAAUGUCCGUAGAUUAAAAAAAAAAAGGAGUCAUCUCUAACAACAGAAACUUGAGACAAUAGUCCGUGGAUGGCACUAAAAACCCUUAAAAGGAACGUUAUAAUUUCUGAUAAGUUAUGUUUGUAGCUGAGAUUACAUAUCACAUUCUAAACAGACCUUAAUGUUCCACAGAGCAGAGCUAUAACCACGGAGGGGGCUUCACUGAUGACCUCCAUGAAGAUGCGCCCCCACCACCUCUAAGCUAUGGCCACUCAGCGCACCACAUCUCCUGUGUUCACUGUCGCUCCUAGCUGUCCUUUUGUAUUAUAUACCAUUUUUUGGAAGAGGAAGCAGCAGGCCAUGCUCUCCCUUUUCCUACCUCGUGUGACAAUGCAGUGGGCUGGACGGUUUGGCCCAGGUGGCCCUGGAAGGCAGCAGGGCUGCAGCCAGCUGGCCGGGGUGACACAGCUCUCACGCUGCCCUUGGACACGGUGCUGCCUGCAGCUCUUGUCCUGGCUUAUCAGCUCCUUCCAGUGCCACACUUCAGAAGCAAAAGCAAAGACCGUGCAAGAGAAGAUGAGAAGAUGCCUGUGCAGUGCAGCACCUGGCGAAUCCCAGAGCGCUCAGAUUCCCCCCAUACACGCAAAUAUUUACAUGCUUUAUACACACAUGGUCUCCCCGGGCAAGUUUUCCUAUCCAGCAUCUCCAGCGAUUCUCUGCAUCGCUCUGCCCCCAUCUCUAACACUCCAAUGCAAGUGUUUGCACUGGUGUGUUACAAACCGUUCCCCCUGCUCGCCUUCUCUGUUGCCCACAGCCAACUCUUCUCCCUCCCAGAUCCCAUUUAAGCCUAUUCCAGACCCACCUUUACUGCGUCUCAAUCUAGACAGUAACUUUUUGCAGCAGUCACUACCUUGCCCUCAAACAGCGGUGCGAGAAGCUACGGCAUUCAACUCUUGCCUGUCUCUGUGUCCCUGACACACCUUCUUCCAGCAGCAAAAGCAGCUCUCCAAUACAAACACAAGCAGGGAGAACUUUGCUCCGCUUAAUUAUCAGGUGCUUUAUUCCUUUUUUAAAAAAGGAAAAUUCAUCUUGGA